GACGAAUGCUGGCUGCGUGCUUAACACAUGCAAGUCGAACGGUGAACAGGGGCUUGCCCCUGGGAUCAGUGGCGAACGGGUGAGUAACACGUGAGUAAUCUGCCCUUCACUCUGGGAUAGCCACCGGAAACGGUGAUUAAUACCGGAUACGACCACUCCACGCAUGUGGUGGUGGUGGAAACUUUUUUGGGUGGGGGAUGUGCUCGCGGCCUAUCAGCUUGUUGGUGGGGUAAUGGCCUACCAAGGCUUCGACGGGUAGCCGGCCUGAGAGGGUGACCGGCCACACUGGGACUGAGACACGGCCCAGACUCCUACGGGAGGCAGCAGUGGGGAAUAUUGGACAAUGGGCGGAAGCCUGAUCCAGCAACGCCGCGUGAGGGAUGACGGCCUUCGGGUUGUAAACCUCUUUCAGCACCGACGAAGCGCAAGUGACGGUAGGUGCAGAAGAAGGACCGGCCAACUACGUGCCAGCCGCCGCAGUAAAAC
rnacentral:rRNA from 1 species